CCUACGGGAGGCAGCAGUAGGGAAUAUUGCUCAAUGGGGGAAAGCCUGAAGCAGCAACGCCGCGUGGAGGAUGAAGGUUUUCGGAUUGUAAACUCCUUUUGGUAGAGAAGAGAAUGACGGUAUGUAACGAAUAAGCACCGGCUAACGCCGGCCAAGCAGCCGCGGUAAUACGGAGGGUGAAAGCGUUCCUCGGAACCACUGGGCGGAAAGAGCGCGUAGGCGGGAUCGAAAGUCAGAUGUGAAAUCCUAUGGCUUCACCAUAGAACUACAUUUUAAACUGUUAUUCGAGAGUUUGGGAGCGGUAGGUGGAAUUCUUGGUGUAGUGGUUCAAUCCUUCGCUAUCACG
rnacentral:rRNA from 1 species